GAUGAACGCUAACGGGAGGCCUAACACAUGCAAGCCGAGCGGUAGAGUUUCUUCGGAAACUUGAGAGCGGCGCACGGGUGCGUAACACGUGUGCAACCUACCUUUAUCUGGGGGAUAGCCUUUCGAAAGGAAGAUUAAUACCCCAUAAUAUAAUGAUUGGCAUCAAUUAUUAUUGAAAACUCCGGUGGAUAGAGAUGGGCACGCGCAAGAUUAGAUAGUUGGUGAGGUAACGGCUCACCAAGUCAAUGAUCUUUAGGGGUCCUGAGAGGGAGAUCCCCCACACUGGUACUGAGACACGGACCAGACUCCUACGGGAGGCAGCAGUGAGGAAUAUUGGACAAUGGGUGAGAGCCUGAUCCAGCCAUCCCGCGUGAAGGAUGACGGUCCUAUGGAUUGUAAACUUCUUUUGUACAGGGAUAAACCUACCCUCGUGAGGGUAGCUGAAGGUACUGUACGAAUAAGCACCGGCUAACUCCGUG
rnacentral:rRNA from 1 species